UUUCCGUAGGUGAACCUGCGGAAGGAUCAUUACAGAGUUCAUGCCCUCACGGGUAGAUCUCCCACCCUUGAAUAUUUAUGCCUUAGUUGCUUUGGCAGGCCGUGGAAACACCAUGGGCUCCGGCUUAUGCGUGCCUGCCAGAGGAAACAAACUCUGUUUUUAGUGAUGUCUGAGUACUAUAUAAUAGUUAAAACUUUCAACAACGGAUCUCUUGGUUCUG
rnacentral:misc_RNA from 1 species